rnacentral:misc_RNA from 1 species
AGAAAAUUGUCCGUAAACGGCUGGAAGCCUUUGGAAAUUGUUGUUACUGUAUAAUUCUGCAGUCUGUAGAGAAGAAGUCUGCGGCGUUUGAUUCUGAAGCCAUGAACCUUGGGUCAUAAAUUGUGUCUUUGAUUUUGUUUCCCCGUCGUACAAUUCAUGAUGCGAAGGAAUUUGAUGUUGAUGAUGAGUGUCGAUUGUGUUAUUGUUAACACCUAGUGAAAACGGUGUUUGUAAAUAUUCAGACCAUUUGAUUUCUUCCCUCUCCGAUUUUCCCGUACAGUCUGCUGCUGCAGUUGCGCCCGCUGAUCCCCAAGCGAAAGCGGCUGCAGCAUUGUUAUCGAAGAAUGAACAGUUACUUUGUAAUUCGAUACUGUUACUAGUACCAUUACUAUUGUUGCUGCCAUUGCUGCUGAUCGU